UUAAUAGGUGUGGUGGAAGGUGUGUGAUACAUGUUUUGUUGGUGGAAAAGGGGGAAAAGAAAAAGAAGGUUAAGAAGUAGGAAAUAGAAUUGAGUCAUAUUUUUUUUCCUCACCUAUUCUCUCUCUCUCCACGCUACUCCCUUCUUCACUGUUAGAGAUUUCACAGCUCUCAUACUCCCUCCGUUCAGCCACCGCGCCUCCACCGUGACAGCUCCGGCCACUCUACCACAGAACAUGUAGCACACACCACCAACCCCAAGUCUCAAUUUUCUUUAGCACUUCCUAAUUUCAGAAUUUGAGUAGUCAAACCCACUUCUCAAAUUGUUAAAAUUGGAGGUUAGAUUCUUCCACAACUUUCUCAUUCUUGUUUCUAAGUUUAGUAUUGAUGUCAAUUAAGGUGAAUUCAUGCCCCACGUAUAAUUAGGAAGGAGAACCAAUUUUGCCUUUUGUUCUAGCUUUGGAAUUUAUGACUUUUAAUUGAGAGUAUUGAUGAAAUAUAGUUCUAUUAUUGAUUCCUUGCUUGGUUUGGGUAUGAAAACAGAAAUUAAUUGUGGUUUUUGUACGUGUACAGGUAGUGUACGUGUAUUUCGUAAUUUAUUGACUUUAACUUGAUAUAUAUUACUACGUGUGUUUAUGUGAUUGGUAUUUUGUGCGCUUGAACUUAAGGAAGUAUUUGAAAUAUAUGAGACUUCUCUAAGUCUAUGUGAUAUUGUGGAAUAGUUGAAUAGUGAUCAAAGUUUUUAUAGACUGUAUAAUUUAAUGUGGUUCUGACAGGAACAGGAACAGGAACAAUAUAUUGAAAGGUAAGAUGGUGGAGGUUGUUGGUUUCAUAUAUUGAAAUUGUGAAUAUGCCUAUGAUAUGCAAAGUCAUUUAAAUGCUUUUAUGUGUUGAGCGAUGUGAUAAAAGAUGUGAAUAUAUGCAUUAUGCCCCAUUGCUUCAAUGAGUCACAGGGUAUAGUUGGCAUGCCAUAGGACAGCAGUACUACACACAUGUUUGAUCAUUCGUCUUCUGAAAAACCGAAGCGAUGAUCUAUAUGAUAUGUUGAUAGAUGAUAUGUGCUCUAUACGGGUAAUAUAUGACAAAUGUCUUACAACAUGCCAUAUGAGAGAUGUACAACAUCUAAUAGUAUCCGAUCCAGAUGUAUAUGACAGAUGCCCUCAUCGGGCUACUUAUAGUGUCCGUGUACCCGUGUCCACCACUAAGCAGAACUUACUUGGGGCUGAAUGUGUUAUCUAUAUGAGAAAUGAUAGUUGUGCUUUAACAAUUAUUAGAUGGGUAUGAUUAUCUCAAAGUAUAAUAUUGCAUUGAUUGAUGAAAGAAAAGCACAGUGACAGGAUGGGUUUUAUAUGAUGAUAUAUGUGAUUCAAAGAUGUGUCUAAAAUCAUCCAAAGUGCAGUGAUUAUCUCCAAAUCUAUAUCUUGUGUUGAUUGAUGUAUAAAGUGAUAAGUUGUCAAGAUAAUAAGUUGAUUGAUGAUCUCCAAAUCUAUAUCUUGUGUUGAUUGAUGUAUAAAGUGAUAAGUUGUCUGGAUAAUAUGUUACAUUUCUACUAUUGCAACGUGUAUUAUUUUGGUUGACAGAUGACCUAUCAUUAUUUAAAAUAGUUUGUGAUUUAAAAAUGAAUAUAUUAGGGUAUUUGAUUUUGAUGAAAUUAUUUAAGGGCUAAAAGUGUUAUCGAUUUGAGAACGAUACAUGUGCUUAAGUAGUUAUGAUUCUCAAACUUUGUACUGAGUUGGUUGAUGAAAUAAAAUGUUAGAGUUGACAGGAUAAAAUGUUAUAAUUUGCUCUAUAUUGUAAAUAUGUAAUAAUAUCAUUUUGGUUGAAAGUAUCAUGUUAUCAUUGAAAGUGCAAUUUAUCUGUAUGAUUAUGCUUGUUCUAUCACUUCUAUGAUUCGGCAGAUUUAUUUGCUAGUGAAUAUGGUUUGCUUGACAGGUUGCUAGCAUAUGACUAUGUUUGUUAUAUAAUUUAACAGAAUUGUUAUAGAAUUGUUAUUAUAUGAAAUGUGAUUGAUAUCAGAUUGGGAGAUGUAAUACAAAAUAGACAGUGUACGACUUUCCAGAUAACAAAGUUAUUGCUUUGUGAUGAGUAUAGUAUAGUGAGGAAUUUCGCUAGUUAGGCAGUUGCGAAUGUCAAGUCACUAUCUCUUUUGUCCAUAAAGUUAAAAGUGGUAUACGUGGCAUGCUUAGUUGAGGAUUUAUAGACGUGUAUAGUUGAAUACAUUUUUUGUUGUAGCAUGUUACUAAUUAUGAAAUAGAGUGUAUCUGUUUAUAUGUUUCAAAAAAUGUACACGGGGUUCUUAAUAAGAGGUUGAUCGUAUCAAAAUGUGACACCAA